UGGAAAUUUGCAUUUAUAACAUACAAAAAUAUUACAAUUAGGUAACUAACCAAAAUAAAUAGUCCAAUGAUAUUGUGUGUAUUUCCUAUAUUUUAGACAUAAGUGACCUUAAGAUAAAACCAAUCAACUCGCCGGUACCGAUUACAACGUCGUCACCACCACAAAGUCACCACCACCAUCACCACCACCAUCACCGCCAUCAUCAUCACCGCCAUCGUAAUCACCUUUCACGAUGAAGAAACGAUGAGAGAGAGUUUGUUAUAGAAAGGGAAAGUUUUAUUCAUCUUAAUA
rnacentral:sRNA from 1 species